rnacentral:rRNA from 1 species
UACAGGGGGUGCAAACGUUGCUCGGAAUUAUUGGGCGUAAAGCGCGCGUAGGCGGCCGCUUAAGUCGGAUGUGAAAGCCCCUGGCUCAACUGGGGAAGUGCACCCGAAACUGAGUGGCUUGAGUACUAAAGAGGGUCGCGGAAUUCCCGGUGUAGAGGUGAAAUUCGUAGAUAUCGGGAGGAACACCGGUGGCGAAGGCGGCGACCUGGGUCGAGACUGACGCUGAGGCGCGAAAGCGUGGGGAGCAAACAGG